UGAGUACUCCCUCCGUUCGAAAUUACUUGUCACAGAAAUGAAUGUAUCUAGACGUAUUUUAAUUCUAGAUACAUCCAUAUCCAAAACAAGUAAUUCCCAACGGAGGGAGUACGUU
rfam:Triticum aestivum genome assembly, contig: Triticum_aestivum_CS42_TGACv1_scaffold_292045_4AL